AACAAAAAAAAAACAAUAAAAAAAACCUCGUAUCUAUAUACAUACAUAUAUAAAAGAAAGUUGAUGUUAGUUACACCAUUUAUAACUUAAUAACGGCUGAACCGAUUUGGCUGAAAAUUGGUGGAGAGGUAGCUUAGAACCAGGAUCAAUUUCCCGUUCAGAUCGAUAUACAGAAGGAAAAUGCCUCGCAAUUGUUUUUGUUACUUUUAAUUUAUUUUCUGUAAAUAUUUGUUAUUUAGUUUCAAGGUAUAUGGGUGCAAAUAGGCCUGCGGGGGAACCGAAAACCCAAAAAAAAUCGGUAACGCGCCUAGUUGCAUACCUUAUUUUGGUGUGGAAAAUGCAAUAUAGGCACAAAAAUAUGUAAAAAACACCAUAAAUAAAAUCUACCGAAAUAAAACAUUUAAUUAUAAUUUACUUUUUAUUUGGGCUUAUAAUUAUA